rnacentral:pre_miRNA from 1 species
UCUUCAUUUCACGUGCUCUCUCACCGGUCAGAGUGACGAGAGAGUGUGUGAAAUGAAGAGA